GGCAUUGGGAGCACAGCGUUGAGAAGUCAUUUUAGAAAUUACCUCUUUGAGAAGACGCAGAUGCUGGAGGAAGAACAGCCAAGAUUCUUCAGCUGUAGAACUGGCCCACUAUUUAAGUAUCCACAUUCAAGGAUAUGACCAAGCCUGCCAAUUAGUCCCUUGCCCCACCACCACCAACAAGCACCUUUCUUAUGGACUGAUCUAUCAAAGCUGUGUCUUCUGGCAUCAAAUCAUUUCAAGUACACAAGAUGGAGCUGCAAUAUUUCCUGUGGAAAGGGCACUGAGCUAGGAAUCAGCAGAUAUGAUAAUUCAAACUGUGUGACCAUAGGCAAGUUGAUCUUUUUUUUUUUUAAUUUAAGUUCUGGGAUACAUGUGCAGAAUGUGCAGGCUUGUUACAUAGGUGUACAUGUGCCGUGGUGGUUUGCUGCACCCAUCAACCCGUCAUCUACAUUAGGUAUAUCUCCUGAUGCUAUCCCUCCCCUAACCCCCCACCCCUCGACAGGCCCCCGUGUGUGAUGUUCCCCUCCCUGUGUCCAUGUGUUCUCAUUGUUCAACUCCCACUUUUGAGUGAGAACAUGCAGUGUUUGGUUUUCUGUUCCUGUGUUAGUUUGCUGAGAACGAUGGUUUCCAGCUUCAUCCAUGUCCCUGCAAAGGACCUAACUCAUCAUUUUUUAUGACUGCAUAGUAUUCCAUGGUGUAUAUGUGCCACAUUUUCUUUAUCCAGCCUAUCAUUGAUGGGCAUUUGGGUUGGUUCCAAGGCUUUGCUAUUGUGAAUAGUGCUGCAAUAAACAUACAUGUGCAUGUGUCUUCAUAGUAGAAUGAUUUAUAAUCCUUUGGGUAUAUACCCAGUAAUGAGAUUGCUGGGUCAAAUGGUAUUUCUGGUUCUAGAUCCUUGAGGAAUCACCACACUGUCUUCCACAAUGUUGAACUAAUUUACACUGCAACCAACAGUGUAAAAGCAUUACUGUUUCUCCACAUCCUCUCCAGCAUCCGUUGUUCCCUUUUUAAUGAUCACCAUUCUAACUGGUGUGAGAUGGUAUCUCAUUGUGGUUUUUAUCUGCAUUUCUCUAACGACCAGUGAUGAUGAGCUUUUGUACAUAUGUUUGUUG
rnacentral:lncRNA from 1 species